AGACGAACCGGACAAACGUUAUUCGGAAUCACUGGGCUUAAAGGGUGCGUAGGCGGCGCGGCAAGUCGGAUGUGAAAUCCCUCGGCUCAACCGAGGAACUGCGUCCGAAACUGCCGUGCUCGAGGGAGAUAGGGGUGAGCGGAACUCACGGUGGAGCGGUGAAAUGCGUUGAUAUCGUGAGGAACGCCGGUGGCGAAAGCGGCUCACUGGAUCUCUUCUGACGCUGAGGCACGAAAGCUAGGGUAGCGAACAGGAUUAGAAACCCGAGUAGUCC
rnacentral:rRNA from 1 species